rnacentral:rRNA from 1 species
GAUGAACGCUGACAGAAUGCUUAACACAUGCAAGUCUACUUGAAGCUAACUUCGGUUAGUGGAGGGUGGCGGACGGGUGAGUAACGCGUAAAGAACUUGCCUCACAGAUUGGGACAACAUCUGGAAACGGAUGCUAAUACCGGAUAUUAUGAUUCUUCUGCAUGGAAGGAACAUGAAAGCUAUAUGCGCUGUGAGAGAGCUUUGCGUCCCAUUAGCUAGUUGGAGAGGUAACGGCUCACCAAGGCGAUGAUGGGUAGCCGGCCUGAGAGGGUGAACGGCCACAAGGGGACUGAGACACGGCCCUUACUCCUACGGGAGGCAGCAGUGGGGAAUAUUGGACAAUGGACCAAAAGUCUGAUCCAGCAAUUCUGUGUGCACGAUGAAGUUUUUCGGAAUGUAAAGUGCUUUCAGUUGGGAAGAAGCAAGUGACGGUACCAACAGAAGAAGCGACGGCUAAAUACGUGCCAGCAGCCGCGGUAAUACGUAUGUCGCGAGCGUUAUCCGGAUUUAUUGGGCGUAAAGCGCGUCUAGGCGGCUACAUAAGUCUGAUGUGAAAAUGCGGGGCUCAACUCCGUAUUGCGUUGGAAACUGUGUGGCUAGAGUACUGGAGAGGUAAGCGGAACUACAAGUGUAGAGGUGAAAUUCGUAGAUAUUUGUAGGAAUGCCGAUGGGGAAGCCAGCUUACUGGACAGAUACUGACGCUAAAGCGCGAAAGCAUGGGUAGCAAACAGG